UGACAUUUGGGAAUCCUUCAUCUUUACUACCAACGUUAACAGCAAAGGAUGAUGCAACAGCCACAGCUUCUGGAGUUAUUCCUCCAAGAUUAGAAGAAAUGUCAAAAGCUCAAACUGUGACUGCACUAGAAAAUACCCAUUUAUACUCUCUCCAAAAGCAACUCCUGCCAGUAAUACCAAAAAGCAAAGAUGAGCUAUCCGAACCUUCCUUUAAUAUGCCAUCAUCAGAUGAAGAACGAGAAGAUGCAGGUGAAAACUGCAAGAAGCAGGAUAAACACAUAUUAGACACAACCAACUUGACAGAAAAAACAGCAUCUGAUAAUCAGACUGACAAAACAGAAAUUUCAUUUCCACAUCCAAAAGUGAAAACUGAGCCACUAAAACAAAAUGAGG
rnacentral:lncRNA from 1 species